UAGCUGGUUGUGGGGGCACACUGGGGUGAGCCUUCUCCCUGUAGGGUCUUCAGACUGUCUCUGUGGUCUCAAGAGGCUUCAAGACUGCAAACUUAGGACACUCAGGGUUAGCCCACAUCCUUUACCCAGUCAUAUUGGCAGUCACCCCAGAGCCCUUCCCUGCUGAUCCUAGAUGAGGCCUCUGACCCCCCAUCUCCAUGUUCUAGGCACCAAGACUUGUCAGUAAAACUCACCUGCCAUCCCACCUGGGAGUUCUGGGUCAUGGGGCAUCAGACCUAGAUAUCUGCUUUCCCUCUGCCACAGAAUUUCAGGACCCUUGAGCUCCACUGUUAAGUACAACGGGAGAAGUCCAUUUGGCUCCUCUGGCAGAGGCCUGCCUCUGUCUCAGAGAUUCCCAUGGUCCUGCCCUGCAUGUCAGCAGAUGAGAAGGGAGACCUCUAGCCCAUCGGAAGACGAAUCACCAUGACUAUCCCGAGAGAUGACAAUUGUAUGGAAUCCCCCUGGCAGCCCAUUCCACACCCCCAAGCCUGAUACUGCUCCAUACUGUCACCUGUGCCCAUCCCUGCCAACCUAUCAUGUGUCUCUCCAACUGGCCUGCCUAUCUCGGGAUGUUGGCAAUGGACCACAUACCUCUGGAGGACUUGGGACACUGUCUAACUCCCCCCCCCCCCAUAUAGGGUCUCCUGUAGUCCAUGCUGGCCUCCAACUCUAUAUGUAUCUGAGGCUGACCUUGGAUUUUAUUUGCCCUCCAUCUCCCAAGGGCUGGGAUCACAGACGUGUACCACCAUACCCAGGAACACCUGCUCCUUAAGCAUAAGCGUUUGUAGGCGGCCGUGUUGGUCAGUGCCCUUUUCUAAGUGUCUGGCAUACCGCACAUUUCCAUGACUGUUCGUUAACUCAGUGGUGGCCAAACAUCCGAGAACACUGACAUUUUCUUGUUCAAUACCAGCAUUCAUUAGCUUCAUUUUAGUUCUCCCGCCUUCCCCCCACCUCUCUCUUCCCCUCCCUCUCUCUAAAACAGGGUGGCCUUAAACUUGCAGCAAUCCUCCUGCUUCUGCCUCCCCUGUGCUGGGGUUACAGAUGAGGAGCACACAUUUGGCUCAAGCUCUUUUAUUUUAAAAAGUAUACAAAACAUCUCUUAAAAGGAAUGAAAUGUUUGGUGUUAAACUAGGAGGUAAGAAUAUAAACAAAAAUACUUCUGCCCCGAAAUCAGAUGUACUCUUUGAAGUGAACAUGGUUAAGAGUUGAUAAAAUUCCUUCUGGGCUGUCUUUUCCCGCCCCUUCUGUGUGCAAAUCUCCAUGUUUGUUGGCUUGUCUCUCCAGAAUGCCCUUGUACUGUGCACACUGCCUGAUGGGCUACCUGCCCAACGAUCUGCCCUGGUGUCUCACUGUGGGUGCGUGCCAAGCCUUCCCACACUUCAGCAAAACAUACAGUUUCCUUAGUGGCCAGGCUGAAGUUCAUUUGACUUCCUUAUCUUCUGGUCAGCUGGUUCGUGUCCUGCUGCUCUUAGUGUUCACCCAUAGUACUUUAGAAUUUUCACAAAGGGUCUUGGUGGGCUCGUCUCUGAACUGUGACCCCCUGCCUUGGUCCACCAUGACAUGGCCAGUUAGGGACAGAUUACAUUGUUGUUGCAUUAGGGAGGUCUGGUCUAGUGGGUAUAGCAUCAUGCUUCACAGGGUGGAAAUACAUAGCAAUGGUGACCUGAAGCCUCCCCUCAUCCUUCCAGGUCCUAGGAUGGUGAUGCAGAGGGUGACCUGUCAUGAGCUCCAGAGCUAGAAGUACAUUGUUGGGCAUACACCCAUGCCUCUGUAGAUGAGAGUUUAUUAAACUCUCCUUGUGUUGCUCACCACAGUGUGCGAGCAUGUUUCUGUGGGUCCUGACUCACAAGAUUCAGACGUUUCUCUGCCAAUCAACAGUAUUGUCUUAAUAUGUCUGUGUGACUAAAACCCAUACCGUUGGCUGAGUAUGUUAUAAGCAGCAUACCUCACCCCUCCCAAACUCUCCCACCAAGCCUUACCCCAGCAUAGUCUGCUCCCUGAGUCUGCAUGGUGUUCCCUUAGUCACGCAGCAGUGGUGAUUCAAGCUCCACAGUGACCAGAACAGCCCCUGGUGUCCUGGUUGCUUGUUUCUACCUUCCUAGUUCUGUUAUGAGCCACAGCGAUCCAGCAGCCACAGCACUAUAGCCCAGCGGAUAGAGACCAUUCCCAGAUAAGCUUAAUUUUCCAGAGGAACCCAGGGUGCCUUAAGCUAGAACUAUGAUCACCUAACACCUAGGUAGUUGAACAUAGAGGUAGACAGGAUUGGUUAUAUUUAUAUAGUCAUACAACUCUCUAUCUCUGUCUCCACCCCCGUGUGUGUGUGUGUGUGUGUGUGUGUGUGUGUGUGUGUGUGUGUUUGAGACAGGCAGACUGACCCAUUAUAUGAUCUAGGACAGCCUCAAACUAAAAAUAUCCCCCAUCUCUGCUUCCUGAGUGCUGGGAUUUACAGGCAUGGAGCAUACUAAUUAUUCUGGAGUUUCUACAGCCUACAAUCCUUCCAGUUAUUAAUUCCCCAAUCCACACAAGACUCUCCGUGGAAUGUGGCCCCAUAAAAGUGCAGGCUGAGAACACCAAAUAGCUCUGUCCACACAUAAUCCUGGGCCUUGUGACACAGUGGCAUAUUGACAAGGAAUUCUGGGUGGAGGGCAGACCAUAAAGAGAACCGGGCAACGGGAGGUGUGAGAGCUGAAGCUGGGAGUUUUCAGAACUACACAGCGCAGGGAGCCCCUCCUCUGAAUAAGAAGUGAGUUUGGAUGGGCCCUGGGCUUCAGAUACUGCCCUGAGACAGGGCCCCCCAGGGCUCCCGGGGCUCCUCUGCCAUCUGCUGUGGCCUCACAUGUCACUUCCCAUAUGCAAGGCCUUCCCCGGAGAGAAGCCGAUGGGCAGGCACAAGUACAGCCAUCGCAAUUGCCUCCAUCCAGGCAGUACAGGGCCUUCAUUGCCUCCCUGUAGCCCAAUGCGUCACUGGCAUUCAGAGCCACCAGCUAUCCGUGUGAGCCUGCACCGCAGAUGGAUGCAGCUUCCUGGGCUGUUGUGGGAAGGCUUUUUACUCAGCCUGCCUCGUCCUAGCCUUCUGGGAGUCACAGCAAACCUGGGGCUGCUUCCCAUACCAGGGGAGGAGGCAUCCCUGACCUACAGGUAUUCUGGGCCUCCGGUGAUGCAAAGUGGAAACCUGGACCACCUUACCGGCCAUCCCCUCACUAACAGGUUCAUCGCACUCUGCCCUUCUGCCGGCAAAGGCUGCAGACAACAGUCAGGAGACUGCACUGGCGUGACUUCAGAAGGGUCAUCAAUAAUUGAUCCUGCAGAAGGUGGGUGGAGCUGCCGCUAAUGAAAGUCCCGCUCGGUCAUUGGGAGCCUGGGCCAGCAGCGCCAGAGAAGACCCACUGCCUGCAAGUGUACCCUACUGAGAUCCCCGCUGCCUACUGUAGUCCAGGGAUGUGUAAGCUUGGAGGAGGUCCACCAGCCAAGCACUGUUCAGCACAGCAUGAGCAAACAGGGCUAGAGAGCCGCCGUAUUGAUGCUGUUGCCCUGAAGAUGACAGAUGACAUGAUGGAUAACACAGCCACAUCCCACUUAAAAGGGAGCCUUCCUCCUGCCUCCAGCAGGGAUGGAGAUAGGUCUAGGUGGACAGAUGAUGAGAACGCGCCAUAGGAAAAGAGAGAGAGGCAGGGAGGGAGAGGGCAGUCCUGUGCAGAAGAGGACCAGAAGCUUUAUGUUAGCACUCCUUCAGGAGGGUCCUGAGGACAGAUGAAAAUUCUCAGGGCUGGAAAAGGCCCUCUGAGUGGGGGUAAGAAAGCCACUAUCUGGAUGUGUCCUUAUUCUCAACAAGCAAUUUGCUCUGUCAAGGGACAGAGCCCGCAAAGCCCAAUAAACAGCUUCUGAGCUUU